AAAAUGGAGCGACUCGUAGCUUAUAUACUAGCUUUGCUAGUUGUCUUUGCUUGUGUUAGCGCUGCCCCGGGUUUGCCAGUUCCCAAAAAUGGUGAAACUAACAUUGAAGCAGGUGAACUUUCUUCACCAAUAAGAGACACCAGGUCCAUUCCAACCAGACUAGCUCAAAGUGCAGCCACCACUACCAGUACUCCACGUCCAAGACCGCCUUCCACCACGCCGCCACCCCUACCAUCAUGGAUCAAGCGAAACAAACCAGGGAAAUCAGUUUAAUUCUACUUAAUACUGAUAUACCUAUAUCAACUUACCUUUAACUUUUCAUAUAAGGCUCUUUAUAAUUUUUUUUUGUUUAUGUACAUUAACUUACCUGUUAUUGGUAAACACAUAGGUAAGAAACAUGUAUA